GAUGAACGCUGGCGGCGUGCCUAAUACAUGCAAGUCGAGCGAACAGAUAAGGAGCUUGCUCCUUUGACGUUAGCGGCGGACGGGUGAGUAACACGUGGGUAACCUACCUAUAAGACUGGGAUAACUUCGGGAAACCGGAGCUAAUACCGGAUAACAUUUGGAACCGCAUGGUUCUAAAGUGAAAGAUGGUUUUGCUAUCACUUAUAGAUGGACCCGCGCCGUAUUAGCUAGUUGGUAAGGUAACGGCUUACCAAGGCGACGAUACGUAGCCGACCUGAGAGGGUGAUCGGCCACACUGGAACUGAGACACGGUCCAGACUCCUACGGGAGGCAGCAGUAGGGAAUCUUCCGCAAUGGGCGAAGGCCUGACGGAGCAACGCCGCGUGAGUGAUGAAGGGUUUCGGCUCGUAAAACUCUGUUAUUAGGGAAGAACAAAUGUGUAAGUAACUGUGCACGUCUUGACGGUACCUAAUCAGAAAGCCACGGCUAACUACGUG
rnacentral:rRNA from 1 species